rnacentral:rRNA from 1 species
UAGGGAAUCUUCGGCAAUGGGGGCAACCCUGACCGAGCAACGCCGCGUGAGUGAAGAAGGUUUUCGGAUCGUAAAGCUCUGUUGUAAGAGAAGAACGUGUGUGAGAGUGGAAAGUUCACACAGUGACGGUAACUUACCAGAAAGGGACGGCUAACUACGUGCCAGCAGCCGCGGUAAUACGUAGGUCCCGAGCGUUGUCCGGAUUUAUUGGGCGUAUAGCGAGCGCAGGCGGUUUAAUAAGUCUGAAGUUAAAGGCAGUGGCUUAACCAUUGUUCGCUUUGGAAACUGUUAAACUUGAGUGCAGAAGGGGAGAGUGGAAUUCCAUGUGUAGCGGUGAAAUGCGUAGAUAUAUGGAGGAACACCGGUGGCGAAAGCGGCUCUCUGGUCUGUAACUGACGCUGAGGCUCGAAAGCGUGGGGAGCAAACAGG